rnacentral:ncRNA from 1 species
UUGGUUCCAUAAGUUAGAACUCUAACAACGGAUGAAAAUGGGAAGUUGGUGUAAAUCCAAUACUGUUCCCGCAGCUGUAAGCUCAUGUUUUGAAUCUCACUCUUUAGUCACUGUUCACUGUAUGGACGGGAAGACGAGGUUCUGAGUAAGUCAGAAGACCUGCCAAAGUUGAU